rnacentral:lncRNA from 1 species
AUGUGUAUUUGGUUUUUACCUCAAGCAUUCAAGCACAUGUUCCACUGAAUUCUCAGCUCCGUAUGGAAUGCCUGACAUCUUUGCUACCUCUGGACUGGAAGCCCCAAGGACAACAGAGGAUGAUGGGAAACUGUCGUGGCACGUGAGCAUUAGUUUGGGUGCAGGUUAUGAAUGCAGUGGGGCGAUCAUCCAGUUGCAAUGGAUCCUUACUGAAGCACACUGUGUCUAUAACCUGGAAGAACGACACUUGAGACUUUUAUCAGUGACAGCAGGAGGCUCAAAGAAACAGAUCUAUGACGUGAUUGGAGUACUCAUACACCCUCAUUACAGCCCAUUCUCUCUCGACUACAAUGUGGCUUUGCUUAAGCUGAGCUCUCUGUUAAAUCUCAGUGAAAGUACGCAGCCUGUCUGUCUACCCUCUGCUGGACAGGAAAUCCCACCCUCCAUCCAUUGCUGGGCUCCGGCGUGGACCAGCCA